GUUGGAGUGGGACAGGUUGGGUUGGAAAGGCUGGAGUGGGACAGGUUGGAUGGGACAGGUGGAUUGGCACAGGUUGGAUGGGACAAGUUGAGUUGGAAAG